ensembl:lncRNA
CUGAAGUAGUUUAUAAGAUUGGAUUCUGAGGCUAUAAUUUAGGAAUAUAGACUUUCGGUCUUUUUCUUAUUGGCCCCCAAUAUAACCAGAUAAUUCUCUGUCUGGUUUCCUGAGGGCCAAGUUACUUUCAUGCAGAACCAUUCUUAACCAUUCUUUAACCAUUUUUAAAACCUAGGGAAGCGUAAGACUACAGACAAGCCACAGCCCAAAGCCCAGGCUGCUGACUUGAGCACAGAUGGGAGAAUGUUAACGGCCAAGAAAUAUGAGGUCUUUGGCUCUUUUCCCAGAACUGCCAGGCUAAGACCUUGGCAGAGACCCAACAGGAAACUGAACUCUAUUUGCAUAUCCUUUUAUACAUGGGAGAUUAAAAGCUUCAACCUUGAGUGAUCACAGUUUUUGAAAAAUCCCGAUGAGGCAUUAAAGAGGAGGAGGAGUGUCCCAAGGGAGGUGAGCUGGAGGCAAAGUAAGCACAGCUUCCUCCCCACUGGUACUAAUUCAUGGAAAUACAUCAUGUUGGUUUUAAAAAAUGGAAGUCUGAAUGCUUGGUGACAGAGCCUGCAGCAAGAGAAGAAAAAAAAAAAAAGUUGCCUGUUCCUCCAAGUUGCAGAAAAACUGGUACUACUAUGCAUCAUAAAACUGGCCAUUAAAAUGUUAUUUCUAACAGAAAAUUCUGGAAAACACCCAGACACUAAAUAUAUCUUACCGCUCAUCCCAGACCUUUGUUGAAAUGGAACCUUCUCCUUGUAGCCUUUCUUGAUCAGCUGAUUUAAAAAAUUUGCCUCCAUCAGACCCCUGGUUUCCUACUCUCUCUACCUCCCUGCAAGUCCUCUCCAUGGUAGUCAUCACAAUCUAACACAUAUUUUACUUAUUUCGUAUUUGUUUUCACUAAAAUAGACUCCUGAACUUCUGUAUUCCCAGUGAGUCUAGAAAAGUACCUAGCAUAUAGUAGCUACUUAAUAAAUAUUUAUUGAAUAAAUAAUGUUGUUAUAUUUUAUGAAAAUAAUCUCCAAAAGUCUGCACUUUGGAUUGGUUUCCUUUCUUAAUAAUUUGUUGUCCUAGUAAUGUAUUUAUACUGACAGUUCUUUUUCUGAAAGUUAUAAAUUCUCCUGGGGCUUUGUCCUUUAAGCCAGAAAAUGACCAUUAAAGCUUCCCUAUUCUCUCACAUGUAUGCAGGCAAUGGAAAGCUUACAGCUACUAGUUUUCUUUUUUUAAAAAAAAAAUUUUAUUUGUUUGUCUGCACGGGGUUUAUGGUGCACAGACUCUCUCUAGUUGUGGCACCUGGGUUUAGUUGCCCAUGUGGGAUCUUAGUUCUCUGAUCAGGGAUCGAAACUGCGUCCUCUGCACUGCAAGGUGGGUUCUUAAACACUGG